UGAGCAAUCUGCCCUUCUCUUUGGAAUAAGCGUUGGAAACGACGUCUAAUGCCGAAUACGACCUCCUUUCGCAUGAUCGGAGGUGGAAAACUCCGGCGGAGAAGGAUGAGCUCGCGGCCUAUCAGCUAGUUGGUGUGGGUAAUGGCCCACCAAGGCGACGACGGGUAGCCGGCCUGAGAGGGUGACCGGCCACACUGGGACUGAGACACGGCCCAGAUUCCUACGGGAGCAGCAGG
rnacentral:rRNA from 1 species